AAAAAUAUCGUAUGUCAUUUUUAUAUAGUAACCCAAAAAAAGAAGAUUAGUAAAACAUAAAGCAUAUAUAAAAAUGUGAAUGCUUUUUUUUUUUUUUUUUUUUUUUUGGGUCACCAUAAAAAUGUGAAUGUCUAUUAUUAGAGAAAAAAUUCAUGUGGAUUAUUCAAUUAAAAUAAUUGGUCUUUAGUCAAAUUAUUUACUCAUUUUUGCUAAGUUUAUCGACUUGUAAG
rnacentral:lncRNA from 1 species